GAUGAACGCUAGCGAUAGGCUUAACACAUGCAAGUCGAGGGGCAGCAUGGUCUUAGCUUGCUAAGACUGAUGGCGACCGGCGCACGGGUGCGUAACGCGUAUGCAACUUGCCUCACAGAGGGGGGUAACCCGUCGAAAGACGGACUAAUACCGCGUACACUCCAUCUUGGGCAUCCAAGGUAGAGGAAAUGAAAUUCGCUGUGAGAUAGGCAUGCGUCCCAUUAGCUAGUUGGUGAGGUAACGGCUCACCAAGGCGACGAUGGGUAGGGGAACUGAGAGGUUGAACCCCCACACUGGUACUGAGACACGGACCAGACUCCUACGGGAGGCAGCAGUGAGGAAUAUUGGUCAAUGGGCGAGAGCCUGAACCAGCCAAGUCGCGUGAAGGAUGACUGUCUUAUGGAUUGUAAACUUCUUUUAUACGGGAAUAACAAGAGUCACGUGUGACUCCCUGCAUGUACCGUAUGAAUAAGCAUCGGCUAACUCCGUG
rnacentral:rRNA from 1 species